rnacentral:RNase_P_RNA from 1 species
GCGAGUCGGUGGGCGGGCCACGGGGCUAUGCCCUGAGGAAGCUCCUCUCUCCUUGCAGGGGCGAGGUGCCGUGAGGCACAGCCAGAGAUGGCUGGCAACAAAACAGAAACGACAUCCGAACCAGGGCGUACUAUGAUGGAGUGCCUGAGGUUCCUGGGUAGGAGUGAAACGGUUGCCCCUCGCGGAGCAAGGCCAAAAAGAGGUCUAUGAGCUCUGCACGAGACCCGGGUAGGCCGCUUAGUCUAAUCCCGCCUAGAACAGAAAGAGGGCUACGGCCGGCACGC